rnacentral:lncRNA from 10 species
GAGAUGAGGUUUUGCCAUGUUGGCCAGGCUGGUCUGGAACUUCUGACCUCAAGUGAUCCACCUGCCUCUGCCUCCCAAAGUGGUGGGAUUACAGAUGUGAGAUACCAUGCCCAGCCCAAAUAAGAAAAACAUGCUCUCUCUUCUCUAAUGAUUGGACAGACUCCUACUCCAAAACAGAAGAUCUCAACUCUGGAAGAGAACAGAUGCCUUCCACUGUGUGAGCGUAAAUUCAGAGCCUUCCAACUUGACAUUCUCAUCGACAAAUUAUUUAAACAUGACGGCUCUUUUAUAAAGAGUGUUAUCUUAAAAGGAAAGGAAUCAAAGGGCUGAACAUGUUGAAGGGAGGAGAAACAAGACCCCCAGGACUUGUCAAUGGCACACAUGAAAGACAGAAAACACCAGAAGCCAGUCUUCAGCCUGCUGGCCCAGCCAUGGCCACUGUAACGUACGGCUAAACCCCUGCCCCGAUCAGCUCUCAAGGCUCUGAGCCAACUGCCUAGACCGUCUAUUUGAGAUCCCUGAGAGUUUCAACACAGGGCAUGGCUGACCUCUCCACCGUGUCAUUUCCAGUAAUGCGGCCUCACUGAUAGCAGAAGUUCGGAGAGCUCUUGUCAGAGAGGCCAGCUGGCACCAUGUGAGUCUUACCCAGAGGGAAACCUGACAAUCUUCCAGCAUGCUCACCAGACUGGGGCACUGACUUUUGUCACUUGAUUCUCAACUCACAGUCUCAAGAUGCUGGUGCUAAUGUACAUUGCAGCUGACACUGGAGUUUAUUUUUAUAACUGCUCUUGCCUCAGAAAAAGCUCCAUCCCAGUACGACUUCCAGGACAGGGAUGGUCUGGAUGCUGCAGUUAGGACAAUGAUCAUCUCGUUCUCUUAGUGGUUAGGAAUCCUGUGGGCUUAUGGAAUAAGCUCGCUGAAACAGACAGUGACAUCCACGGUGACACUGACCGAAUUGUGCUCCAGUGGCCUAGAGAGUGCCUAUUAUUUAUCUCAUUUCUGUUCUGCAUAAUAACACCAACCAAACCGCUAAUGAAUGAAUAUUAUUACAUGCUUUGGUAGGAACGCAAAGGCAAAUUGGGCUCACUGUAGAGAAUAUCUUGCUCCUCAUUUUGUAUUAAAAUGCCUAGACGCCCCUCAAGAGACCAUGUCAAGGAUGAAAUUUAUCCACUGCCUGCAUUUGCUAAUUUGAAAGAGUUCUGAUUUCAUCUGCCGGGCUUAAUAUAGAAAUUCUUUUAACCUGAACAGAUACACAGAAAUGUGGAAUUUAUUCAAUGCCAUUUUCUUGAUUUAUGUCAGGAAAUAUAUAUGGCUAUGCUGUCAUCUUUUUAUAUAUAGACAUCAAUAUAUAUAAAUAUAUAGAGUCAAGUCAGAAAUUCUGAAACCACAUUGCACUUAGCCCUUACAGCAUAAUGCUUUCCAUAUUCUUCACAGUUUGUUUCCCUGAUCCUUUAGAGAGAGCUACUGUGUUUAAAGUGUAAACCAUUUUUACAGAAAAAAUGUAUUACAAUUCUAUAUGAUAAUUCUCAAAGUUCAGGAAAAUAAUCUGAAAUAAACAUUCUAAAUUGAGGAAUGAAUAAUAAAGACUCAUCAAUUGGGCUGGGAGCAGUGGCUCACGCCUGUAAUCUCAGUACUUUGGGAGACCGAGGCAGGCGGAUCACCUGAGGUCAGCCUGGC